CGUGCCUAAUACAUGCAAGUCGAACGAGGGUGCUUGCACCCUAGUGGCGAACGGGUGAGUAACACGUAGGUAACCUGCCCUUAAGCUUGGGAUACCCAGAGGAAACUUUGGCUAAUACCGGAUAACAACAGAAGAGGCAUCUCUUCAGUUUGAAAGGCCCUUUACGGGGUCACUUAAGGAUGGACCUGCGGCGCAUUAGCUAGUUGGUGAGAUAACAGCCCACCAAGGCGAGGAUGCGUAGCCGACCUGAGAGGGUGAUCGGCCACAUUGGAACUGAGACACGGUCCAAACUCCUACGGGAGGCAGCAGUAAGGAGUUUUCGGCAAUGGGGGAAACCCUGACCGAGCAACGCCGCGUGAGUGAAUGACGGCCCUAUGGGUUGUAAAGCUCUGUUGUAAGGGACGAAUGAUUCGCUUAGGAAAUGAAGCGGAUUUGACGGUACCUUACCAGAAAGCCACGGCUAACUACGUGCCAGCCGCCGC
rnacentral:rRNA from 1 species